GGUUACUGUCAAGAUGUCAGAUGAGGCUCCAGUAUUCUGAAAGAUCUGCUUCCAUUCCCAUUUACUUGCAUACCUGGCAAGUUAAUGCUGGUUGUUGGCAGGAGAACUCAGUUCCUCACCAUGUGGACUUCUCUGUAAUUCUGCUUGAGUGUCCUCACAGCAUAGCAUCUAGGUUUCCUCAAAUCUACGAGGGAACAAAGUAGAAAAUGUAAAAUCUCUUAUGACCCAGCCUCAGAAGUCACACACCAUCAAUUCUACAAUAUCCUAUUACUUGUAGGAGACUGGUUACCAUACGGUCUUGGUAGUGUUUUCAAGAAAGGUAAGACCAGCCUCAUCAGGGCAAGAAGGGAGCUGCCUCUGCAGGCAGGGAAACAUUCCAGAGUUUGGCAACAUACGGUAGCAUUUUUGGAAUACAACACUUUUCUAGUCAGUACCCUACCUAACUCUGUCAGUACCCUAACAGAGAUCAAAUGAAGCUGUUAAUUCUACCUCUGUUGUAAUUCAGCAUUUUACUGAAAAAGAUUCUGUUUGUAAUAUUUGGUGUGUUAGACCUGUGGCUAUAAGAGAUAAGGAAUGUUUUUAGGACAGUCAUAGAAAAACCCUGGUUUUUUAAACAUAUCUUGAGCUAAAAAUUGAAAUCUAGAGCCUAUAAUUUUCUUUAACUUUUCUAGCACAGAUAGGAGCAGCUGACACUAUCCCUGCCCUUGUAUUCCUUGAGCCUUCCAUAAUGGUCUAGUACAACAGCCAGCUGGUCCACCAAAGACUUGCCUUUAAUAGGUACUUCAUUCCAGAUGACCCAAGAUGGUAACUUUCUUAAAGCAAAAAUGUAAUAUGUUUUCUCACGUAACUGAAAAGUCUCUGGAUAGACCUGAAUCCAGGUACUCAAGUCUCAUCAAUAAGACUCCAUCCUUUGCCAUCUCCUGGCUCCACCUUUCUCUGUUGUCUUUAUUCCCAGAGAAACUCUCCAUGCUAUGGCAGAAAUGGUCUCUCACUUAACAUGUUAGUAACUUAGCAAUCCAUAGAUGAUAAUUUUUUAUUGUGGCCACUCCAUGUGGCAUGUGGGAUCUUAAUUCCUCGACCAGAGAUUGAAUCCAUGCCCUCUUCAGUGGAAGCAUGAAGUUUUAACCACUGGACCUCCAGGGAAGUCCCCAUAGAUGAUUUAAAUAACUAUUUCUCCAUUAAAUGUAAUGGAUUAACAAUGUCCACUAAUAGUAACCAGAUCCUCACUGCCUUCAGAUACAUCAAAUCAGAUAAUAAUGCUCACAUUCCCAUUUCCUGGAAAUUCAGUUGUUUACAACUUUUCUUAGUGCUCAUCAAACAGUGUUCAGUUGCAUAAUAUAGAAUCCAGCCUAGUAUAGGCAAAAUGAGAUUUAAACAAGAAAUCAAGUACUUACAAAAUUGCUGAAAGGACUGGAGGGGCAAACUCUAGAGCCAACUCCUUGAAACAACCUCCAGCUCUCAUAACCACUUUAUUUCCACCAUGAUUAGAAAUGUUCCCGCUAACACUGCUGUGGGCAACUGUUGCCACCAAUGCUCAACACAGAACUGCACUACCUCUGCUGACGCCUAUGCUGCUGCUACUCUUUUAGGAAAAUUGCUAGCUCCAGAAUCACACAUACCACCUCUGUCAGAUCUGCACAAGCAAAUUAGAUCCCAUGUAUCUUUCUGUGUCCUCACAUGGUUCAGUUCUGAAUUCAUCUCUCACAUGAUAACAUCAAACAGAAUCAUAUCAGGAAUCUUAACUGAAAGACUCUAGGAAAUGCCCAUUAUCAGCUAUGCAGCUUUUUCAGAUUAGGAAGUGAUUUUGGGGAAGUAAUUAGAAUCUAAUUUUUCAGAUUCAGUUCAGUUCAGUU
ensembl:lncRNA